GAUGAACGUUGGCGGCGUGCCUAAUACAUGCAAGUCGAACGAAGACUGUAGUAAUACUGUCUUAGUGGCGAACGGGUGAGUAACGCGUGGGUGACCUGCCCCGAAGUGUGGGAUAACAGUUCGAAAGAACUGCUAAUACCGCAUAAUAUCCAAGAGAUUAGACGCUUUUGGAUUAAAGGAGUAAUUCGCUUCGGGAGGGGCCCGCGUCCCAUCAGCUAGUUGGUAAGGUAAUGGCUUACCAAGGCGAUGACGGGUAGGGGACCUGAGAGGGUGGCCCCCCACAAUGGAACUGAAACACGGUCCAUACACCUACGGGUGGCAGCAGUAGGGAAUAUUAGUAAUGGGCGAAAGCCUGAACUAGCAACGCCGCGUGUGCGAAGAAGGCCUUCGGUUGUAAAGCACUUUUGUAGAGGAUGAGGAAGGACGGUAACUCUCAGAAUAAGUCUCGGCUAACUACGUG
rnacentral:rRNA from 1 species